AGCAUAAUCGGAACCUUUCUGGUUUUUAUAUUCACGAAAGAAUGAAAAACCCGAGAAAGUCAAAACUUCGUAUAUCUCGGGAUUUUAACGAGACCAGUCUCAUACUCGUGAAAAUCGAGAGAGGAGUUUAAAUGGAAAAACAUGAAACAGUCUGAACAGCAAUCCUCGAUUUUGUCAACAAUCUAAAACGUGCUAAGGAGUAGUCAUUCGUCGAUUUACCUGCGGCUUCCAGAUGAUCUGAAGAUCAGGAAUAUAGAAAAUAUUGUCAAUUUGAUAUUGCUGAUGAUCCAGUCAAGUCU